rnacentral:rRNA from 1 species
UACGGAGGUCCCGAGCGUUGUUCGGAUUCACUGGGCGUAAAGGGUGCGCAGGUGGUAAGGUAAGUCGGAUGUGAAAGCUCCGGGCUCAACCCGGAAAUGGCAUUGGAAACUACUUUGCUUGAGGUUUGGAGGGGGGACUGGAAUUCUCGGUGUAGCAGUGAAAUGCGUAGAUAUCGAGAGGAACACCAGUGGCGAAGGCGAGUCCCUGGACAACACCUGACACUGAGGCACGAAAGCCAGGGGAGCAAACGGG